UUCCAGACUCCUACGGGAGGCAGCAGUGGGGAAUAUUGCACAAUGGGGGGAACCCUGAUGCAGCGACGCCGCGUGAGUGAAGAAGUAUCUCGGUACGUAAAGCUCUAUCAGCAGGGAAGAAAAUGACGGUACCUGACUAAGAAGCCCCGGCUAACUACGUGCCAGCAGCCGCGGUAAUACGUAGGGGGCAAGCGUUAUCCGGAUUUACUGGGUGUAAAGGGAGCGUAGACGGCACUGCAAGUCCGGAGUGAAAGCCCAAGGCUUAACCAUGGGACUGCUCUGGAAACUGUGGAGCUUGAGUGCGGGAGGGGCAGGCGGAAUUCCUGGUGUAGCGGUGAGAUGCGUAGAUAUCAGGAGGAACACCGGCGGCGAAGGCGGCCUGCUGGACCGUGACUGACGUUGAGGCUCGAGAGCGUGGGGAGCAAACAGGAUUAGAUACCCCUGUA
rnacentral:rRNA from 1 species